CUAAUUAUUAGCCUGUUAAUGCUAGAGGGUACACAAGGAAAAAAAAAAAAAAAAAAAGUCAGCAUUGGUUUUUGAAGCAGUUUUUGGCAGACAGUCACUGCUCAAACAGCCCAACCCUAGUUCUGGAGGAGGGCGGUCCUGUGUCUGCCUUCAUUUUACUUCAGGAAAAAGAAAGCUUUCAGUGGAACAGUGAUUACCCCACCUCCAGCCCUCUCUCCCGGUCUGUGGGCUUGUGUCCAUCUGCUUCUAGGGAAGAGGGACCUCCUUGCAAACGCUCCCCCCUCCUUUUCUGUGUCAUACACAGUGAUUACUGCUGGGGUCAACCUCAGCAAGCCCUGCAGGUCCCACCAUCAGUUCCUCCGGCUUCACCACACACAGAUGCCUUCAGGAGGGACUGCUAGGGAUCCGCUGUGAGACUUCCCAGGAUUUGAAAGCUUCUCCAAGGGCUGGGAAGGAAAGAAACAAGGGGGACGCAUUUGCUUUGUUCUUGUUUUAUUCUCCCUCCUCCUUCUCCUAUCUGGAGAUCAGCUUGUACUUUACAAGAAGUCAGAACUGCAACUUUACAUAUAAAGGGGAGAGAGAGUUUGUGUGUGCUGUAGUAAGGGAGGGCCAGGGUCCCUGCUGACUGAAAGCUGGGAUUUCCACUCUGUGGCCCUUUCUUUUAUUUUUGAUACAUAGUGUCUUUAGUAUCAUUGUUUCAAUUAUUCCAAGUGCGACUGGAGGAUGGCUGGGUGCUGUCUGUCUGCAGAGGAGAAGGAGUCCCAGCGGAUUAAUGCAGAAAUCGAGAGACAGCUCCGCAGGGAUAAGAGAGAUGCUAGGAGGGAAUUAAAGCUGCUUCUCCUGGGU